UACAGGGGGUGCAAACGUUGCUCGGAAUCAUUGGGCGUAAAGCGCACGUAGGCGGUUCGUUAUGUCGGAUGUGAAAGCCCUUGGCUUAACCGAGGAAGUGCAUCCGAAACUGGCGAGCUAGAGUACGAAAGAGGAUCGCGGAGUUCCCGGUGUAGAGGUGAAAUUCGUAGAUAUCGGGAGGAACACCGGUGGCGAAGGCGGCGAUCUGGGUCGAUACUGACGCUGAGGUGCGAAAGCGUGGGGAGCGAACAGG
rnacentral:rRNA from 1 species